CAGUAGCCGCGGUAAUACGUAGGUCCCGAGCGUUGUCCGGAUUUAUUGGGCGUAAAGCGAGCGCAGGCGGUUAGAUAAGUCUGAAGUUAAAGGCUGUGGCUUAACCAUAGUACGCUUUGGAAACUGUUUAACUUGAGUGCAGGAGGGGAGAGUGGAAUUCCAUGUGUAGCGGUGAAAUGCGUAGAUAUAUGGAGGAACACCGGUGGCGAAAGCGGCUCUCUGGCUUGUAACUGACGCUGAGGCUCGAAAGCGUGGGGAGCAAACAGGAUUAGAUACCCCUGUAGUCCCUGUCUCUUAUACC
rnacentral:rRNA from 1 species